ACGACAGGUCUGCAACCCCACACACGACCCCACGUAAAUAACGAAUAUUUCUCACUAUCAGGUGGACUAUGCGUGAGGAUGGACACGCAGAGAUGUACGUGAACGACUGGGACAUGCUGGCGGUGGAGCGGGAGGAUGACUCGGACUGUGCGGAGCGUCGUACAUCCGAGGGAGUAAAAAGAAGUUCGUCUCGUCCCCCAAAUGAUGAAAGUGUCGACUCUCGUGGAGCAGUGCAUCGCCCGCAAAAUUAGAUACCACAGAACUGCUUCUGAGAGCCCUCCAAAGUCGCGCUACGCUCCUCCAAAUCAAGUGGCGAAUACGCAUCACAACCAGAGCCACACGCCGCCCUUCGACGCCUCCUCCCCACAGCAGACACCACCCCUCGUACUCGUGAGCCCCCCUACUGUUUCACGGUCUCCGGAUACACCACUCGGUCUGGCACCUCAGAUAGAGGGGGCCCACAAGCAGCUGCCGCGAGGCAGAAGCCGUGCGGAAUUUUCAUCGAGCGCACGCAGCUGUUAAAACAGUUUAUGUUUCCUUGAUCGUCAAACACCACGGAGCAGAUUGCGCUCGGAGGUGAAAUUGAAUAAUUGUCAUUAGCGGCGCGCCGGGCUGAAUUAAAACAAAAGUGACUAUUCGCGUGCGUGUCGCGGUCCCCCCCCCCCUGAGGCCCAUGCGUAACAAGAAAUCCGCACUGCCUAGCGACGUGGCUGCGUGUCAUCUUCGUCCCGUCCAAGCUACUCGACCCGCGGCUUCGGUGCUUUAAGCAAACGAGUGGUUGAGCGGUGGUGAGCGUACUGCGCUAUGAACCCGGCGACCUGAGUUUGGUAUUACGCCAACGGCUGAGCGACACCGAUCAGCAUGACAAACACGUGGUCCUGGGCAGGACACUUCGCUUGAAGGGUGAUGGCCGAAUGAAUGUCAAGAAUAAUGACGGGGCCGGCACGAAGAGAUGACGUCCACCGACGAGAUGGAGCGAUGAAAUCAGCUCAUGUGCAGACAAACACGUGGUCCUGGGCAGGACACUUCGCUUGAAGGGUGAUGGCCGAAUGAAUGUCAAGAAUAAUGACGGGGCCGGCACGAAGAGAUGACGUCCACCGACGAGAUGGAGCGAUGAAAUCAGCUCAUGUGCAGUAGCCGCCGGGCCGGAGCGUUCGGGGCACGCGAGCGGGCUUGAAAGCGACAGCCACGUGGACGUCCCUUCGGCCCGCUCGCACGGCAACGGCCGGACAGCAGCCGCAGCGUGAGCCGCGGAGAUCGAAAGGCCCACAGACGGUGGCCGCGAGAAAGCACCGCGGUCCCGUGUGUUGCCGCCUGCUGAGCAGGGAACAAGCGGCGUGUUCUGCAUCGAUGUGUGCGUGUUGAAACCCAAGAUCUCAGCGGUGCUGACGCAGUAGUACCCUGGCACCAACGUUUCUUACCUUUAUAAUGAAUGUACACCGGGUGUUACUGUGUCCAUGCCAACACAGUACUCAUGGGAAGAGAGUUGAAUGCAAGCGGCUGUUAUGCAAUUAUUGGUAUUGGCAUUUCCUUCAAAGUUUAUCAAAACCGUGCCAUCUACUUUCUUCACAAUGUCACCAUUUUAACGUCUUGGAUAUUGCCAGAGGAAUAAAAAAAAUAAAACAUUUGGUCACAAUGUGUGCUGCAUUUUCUAGGCGAGGCGCACGCCACGCCACGCACGCACGCGUGCAGACAUUCAAGAACACGCGUGCACACAUUGAAGAACAUGCACAGGCCAAUGUAGAUCCACACACACGCUGCACACGCUUAGUGGCCAUCAACACGUCUUUUUUUAUUUAUGCACAGUAAUUACGGUUAUACAUAUAUAAAGCCAUGCUAACUUCUCUUUUUUCUUGGGUUCUCUGCCCAAGGGGUAGAUUAUCGGAUCAAGUUUCUCGCAUCUUGUCUGAUCUUGCAAUUUCCUCCCCGUUAUAACGGCUGGCUGUCCCUUCAGGUGGAUCAAGCAUCUCCUUCCUUUUUAUACCUCGUGGCCUUUCCCCCAGCAUCCUUCAAGAGCAACUCGGCCUGCAGUUGGGGGUAACUGGUGGGUGGCGGGGGAAGGUGGGCUGAGGGGGUCACCCAGGGACGCCAGGUAGGGAUGCUAGGGGAAUGGGGGUUGGGUACCGUUGUCCUAAAAGAGAUCCUUCCUCUAUUAACACAGCUCGCUAAUUGAUAUGCUCUCGACUUGUACCGGCGUAUUGUUCUGGCACGAUGUCCGACAUUUCGUUCCACGUGCUGGGAGCUUAUUCAGUUGGAACGUGAAAAUUUUACUUCAAAAGCAGAGAGAUUCUUUCAGAAAGAAGCUCCCAGCGCUCUGGAACAAAACGUCGGACAUCGUUCCGAAAAACACGCGGCCCACAGCCCCCAAAACACAGCCACACGUCUCAACCGUUAAAACCUACGUAGGUGCUCAUACUAAUGUACGAAUGAUUUUUUUUCUUUUUCAGGAACAUACAUAAUUAUACAGUACGCAUUAUAUGCAAAAGGCAAAUUUUUAUUUGAAUUGCUUCGUGAAGGGUAACAUGAUAAUACACUUGAUCUUUCGAAAUUGCAGCGUAUGAAAUUACGCCACAACAUUUAGAAUGCGCGUAUGCAAUUCAACAACACAAUCGCUCCUUAUCAGAGGAUUCAUCUUCGUGACAUAAUAACAUGGAGAUGCUGCCAUAGUGAAAUGGUUCGCACACUGGAAUUGCAACCCAGAGGUCGUCGGUUUAAUCUCCAAGCGUGGCAGCUGAAACAAUGGGGGCAAGUUUCUUAAAUCCUCCCACUCCUGUCCACUCAGCAGUAUGGACAUAGUUACUCGAUUGGCAGGUUCCCGUGUGGUGGGGUAGAGUGUAGGUAACCCCACUUCUUCCAAGACGUUUGACAAACUAUCCUUCCGAGGGACUCUAUCUCGAUCUUCCUUCAGUGGAGGCCCUUCUGCCAGCAGUUGCAUGAGAAAAUAAUUUGCAGAACCUGCACCUUAACGAAAUAACGUGAGUGACGUCAUUUAUCGUGGAAUAAUUUCUAAAAGCAAUGCAUUCUUUGUUGACGACCUAUAAAAGCUUAAACUCCAAAUACGAUCGUGAAAGAUAAGAAAAAAUGUCAAACAAAACGCAUGAAUGUACUAGGUGUUGCUAGUUGCUAGGCGUUUCUGUUGUCAAAUGUUAUUUGACAAGUGCCUUUUGUCAAUUUAUCAGUAUUAUCUUUAAACAACAGAAAAGUUGGCAUAAUGUUGCUUUCUCAUGGAUAUUGUGAGUAAUGAUGUCUUUAAAACGUUUCCAUUUUUUUAUACAACAAAGCCCUCUUUGAUAGAACAUCACUUUUCAUAGCAUCUUGUAUGAAGGAGAUGUAUUGAUACCAUGUCAUUUGUGGGCUGGAUUAUGUGCAGCAAGAGCCAAGAGUGAUCUCACACAAGUGGCACUAAAUACUCAUUUAAGCAUUUUAACACCCAGUGAGUCAUGAGCCUGUAUGUGAUGAUUAAAUCAGGAUCACACUUGACCGUGUAGUUUCAAAAUAUUCGUAGAUGUAUAACUUUUGAACGGGUGAUGUCGUGGUGAAAUGGUUUACAUGCUGGACUUGAAAUCCAAAGGAUGCCGGUUUGAUCUCCCAAUAGUAGUCACUGUUUAAAUUCCUGGAUUUUUAUAUGGGGAGUUAAAUA